AUACAGUGUAAUAUUAGUUUCAGGUGUACAAUGUAGUGAUUCAACGCUCUGUCUCUCUCUUUUUUCCCCCCAUGCUCAUUUGUUUUAAAAUCUUGUCUUUAUAGUAGAAAAUCCUGGCUGACGCCACCUUAACCAAGUGAUUAAAGUUAACAUCACCAGUGAGGGACGAACCGCCACCGCGUGCCUCCUGGUGUGAUGUGCUGAGAAGGACACAGUAUCUCCUGUGUGGUAUUCCCGCCACAUAUGCGUAACUGUGAAUUUAAUCAUGAAGGAACCGCAGACAAACUCAGACUUAGGGGCAUUCUACAACAUAACCGGUUUAUACUCUUCAAAGAUGUUAAGAUCAUGAAAGACAAAGGCAGACUGAAGAACUUAUUCCAGAUAUCUCUGAAGAGCAGAGACUAGGGUGAUCCGAUAUGCAACAGAUCCUACAACAACCCCACACAUUGACCAGGGUGACCCAAGGAGACCCUUCAGAGUCCAAUGCUAGGGAGAGAUACGCACUUCAAAUGCCCUGCGGGGCCGAGCUGAGCAUCAGCCCCCACCACCAGAGGGCCCCCGAGCACAGAAACUGGCAAUUUCCAGAG